AGAGUUUGAUUCUGGCUCAGGAUGAACGCUAGCGGCAGGCUUAACACAUGCAAGUCGAGGGGCAGCGGGAUGUAGCAAUACAUUGCCGGCGACCGGCGGAUGGGUGCGUAACGCGUAUGCAACCUACCUUAUACAGGGGAAUAACCUUUCGAAAGGGAGACUAACGCCCCAUGGUAUUGAUUUAAGGCAUCUUAGAUUAAUUAAAUAUUUAUAGGUAUAAGAUGAGCAUGCGUAUGAUUAGCUAGUUGGUAAGGUAACGGCUUACCAAGGCGACGAUCAUUAGGGGUUCUGAGAGGAAGGUCCCCCACACUGGUACUGAGACACGGACCAGACUCCUACGGGAGGCAGCAGUGAGGAAUAUUGGUCAAUGGGCGCAAGCCUGAACCAGCCAUGCCGCGUGCAGGAAGACGGCCUUAUGGGUUGUAAACUGCUUUUACAUAAGACUAACCGUAUAUUUGCGAAUAUACCUGAAUGUAUUAUGAGAAUAAGGAUCGGCUAACUCCGUGCCAGCCGCCGC
rnacentral:rRNA from 1 species